GCCAAGCCGGGGGUGGCUGGAGAGCGGAGAGGGUGGAAGUCUGAGCGUGCUGGGGCCUGGGCGCCGGCCCUGGGCAAGCCACGGCUGGGCGAGAUCACGCCCUUAGUCACUUAACCGACUGACGUUUCCUUUACCCAGGUUCCCACAUCAGGGCUUGAAGGAGCCCGCGAAUUACCUAGGGAUCUGUGGGAACCGCCCCGGGACUCGUCGGGAAGAUGCCGUACCUCGGCUCCGAGGACGUGGUGAAGGAGCUGAAGAAGGCUCUGUGUAACCCUCACGUUCAAGCUGAUAGGCUGCGCUACCGGAAUGUCAUCCAGCGAGUGAUUAGGCACAUGACUCAGGGCUUGGACAUGUCUGGUGUUUUCAUGGAAAUGGUGAAGGCCAGUGCCACUGUAGAUAUUGUUCAGAAGAAGUUGGUUUACCUGUACAUGUGCACGUACGCCCCCCUGAAACCAGAUCUGGCUCUGCUGGCCAUCAAUACACUGUGCAAAGACUGUUCGGACCCCAAUCCGAUGGUGCGAGGGCUGGCACUACGGAGCAUGUGUAGCCUCAGGAUGCCUGGUGUGCAGGAAUAUAUCCAACAGCCUGUUCUCAGUGGUCUGCGUGAUAAGGCUUCAUAUGUCAGGAGGGUGGCAGUCCUUGGUUGUGCCAAGAUGCAUAAUCUUCAUGGAGACUCUGAAGUGGAUGGUGCCCUGGUAAAUGAAUUAUACAGUUUGCUGCGUGACCAGGAUCCAAUUGUGGUUGUGAACUGCCUGAGGUCUCUAGAGGAAAUUCUGAAACAGGAAGGAGGUGUUGUCAUCAAUAAACCCAUCGCCCACCAUCUCUUAAAUCGAAUGUCAAAACUGGACCAGUGGGGCCAGGCUGAAGUACUGAACUUUCUGCUACGCUACCAACCCCGCAGUGAGGAGGAGCUGUUUGACAUUCUCAAUCUGUUGGACAGCUUUCUCAAGAGCAGUAGCCCAGGCGUGGUGAUGGGAGCCACCAAACUCUUUCUGAUCUUGGCAAAAAAAUUCCCCCAUGUACAAACUGAUGUGCUUGUGCAAGUCAAGGGACCUUUGCUGGCUGCCUGUUCUUCAGAGAGCCGCGAGCUCUGUUUUGCUGCCCUCUGUCAUGUGCGCCAGAUCUUGCGUAGUUUGCCAGGUCACUUUAGCAGCCACUACAAAAAGUUUUUUUGCUCCUACUCAGAGCCCCACUACAUCAAGCUACAGAAGGUAGAGGUGCUGUGUGAGCUGGUGAACGAUGAGAACGUGCAGCAGGUGCUAGAGGAGCUUCGAGGGUACUGUACUGAUGUGUCUGCUGACUUUGCACAGGCUGCCAUCUUUGCCAUAGGUGGCAUUGCCAGAACCUACACAGAUCAUUGUGUGCAGAUUCUAACAGAGUUGCUGGGGCUUCGACAAGAGCACAUUACCACAGCAGUGGUGCAAACUUUCCGAGACCUGGUUUGGUUGUGUCCUCAGUGUACGGAAGCUGUGUGUCAGGCCCUGCCAGGCUGUGAGGAGAACAUUCAAGAUAGUGAGGGGAAGCAGGCACUUAUCUGGCUACUUGGUGUCCAUGGGGAAAGAAUUCCCAAUGCUCCUUAUGUGUUAGAAGACUUUGUAGAGAAUGUGAAGUCAGAGACAUUUCCAGCUGUUAAGAUGGAACUACUCACUGCACUGCUCCGCCUUUUCCUCUCACGACCUGCUGAGUGCCAGGACAUGCUGGGGCGUUUGUUAUAUUACUGCAUAGAGGAAGAAAAGGAUAUGGCAGUACGGGACCGAGGUCUCUUCUAUUAUCGCCUCCUCUUAGCUGGCAUUGAUGAAGUUAAGCGGAUCCUGUGUAGCCCUAAAUCUGACCCUUCUCUUGGACUUUUGGAGGAUCAGGCAGAAAGACCUGUGAAUAGCUGGGCCUCAGACUUCAACACACUGGUGCCAGUAUAUGGCAAAGCCCGCUGGGCAACCAUCUCUAAAUGCCAGCGGACAGAGCGUCGUGGCCCAGAGCUUCCUAACACAGCAUCCUUUGCCACAUCAGGACCCCUGAUUCCUGAAGAGAACAAGGAGAUGGUACAAGAACUCCCUGAUUCUGGAGCCCUCAUGUUAGUCCCCAAUUGCCAGCUUACUGCUGAAUAUUUUGAGAAAACUUGGCUUCGCCUCAAAGUUGCUCAUCAGCAGGAGCUCUCUCUAGCCUCUGCAGAUAUAUGGUUUGAUGAUGUGAUAUAAGUAGAUGCUCAUCUUUAAAAUCAUGAGGGUAGUUGAUACUGUGCCCUUAGGAAAAUGGCCAUCUAAUGUCUGUCUUAGUAAACUCCAGGGAACCAGCCUACCUGCAUUCUAAAAGAAUUACUGCAAUAUCCAGCCUUCUUUCAUCAGAUACCCUGGUUGUUGAUGUUAGAGGAAUUUAUACACUGAGACUAGACAGAUGGAAUGCAUCUACAAACCCUCAAAUGAAAAUGAAUCUUUGCUGCUACACCGAAACCUUGGCCAUUCAUGAGGUGUGGGAAGGCCAAGGCACAGCUUUGCUUCAGAAAAACAUGUAAGCAAGGUAAUGAUAGAGGUGUUUAUGGUUGGUUUUCAGGUGACUGCUUAGGAAGACAAGCCAACCUAAAGGAGAUAGAGAAUGGGGCUAAGAAUAGUAAACCCUGGGUUACAUCUUUGACGAAUAUGUAGACAAGGGUGCCAGUUGCCUUUGGCAGGCAUAGAAUCUUAAGGGACGUGGUUCAGGCAUGAAACUUAGAGCACUGAAGGUGAGAAGAGACAUUUCAUCCAAAUUAGGAGGUCUGACAGACACCUUCUAAUCUCGUGCUGCAGAGGUAAGUUGAGGUUGUCAUGUCUGCCUUGGGUACAAAUAGACCUCAGUGUCUAUCUGGGAGACCAGUUCGAGUUUUAUCACCUUGACAGCGGAGUACUCACUGGCUACAUUCAGAGCAGAACAGACUUCCAUUUCCUCAAAUAAGAUGGUGGCACUCCUAUAAGGACAGUAGGAGUCGGACAGGCCAGGAAGAACUGAAGAAGUCAAACAAUAUUCAUCCAGUGAGUCCCAUGGGACAUCAUUCUCUACCACCUCUGGCAGCUCCUGCUGAGCCUGGUGGGGUAGGGAGUACUAAGAUUACAACACGAAGGACAGACACCACAGCAUCCUAGCUGGUUUUGAUGGGAGGCAUAGAGAUGUAGUCACAGCAAGAGCAGACCCAUUAAUGAGAGAAAAACUGUCCUCUUAUUUCAGGAGCAUAGUGUGGCUACCUUGGGGAAAUAGAGAAAAGGAGACAGAGAGAGAGAGAGAGUACAAGGUGCUCAGUGCUUUGGCCAUAUAACUAGCUUAUGAGCAUGAACUGUUGUUGAAUGGAAAUCAUGACUUACAGCACACAGUGAAGAAUCAUAAAAGUGGCUUCAACAUUUUUGCAUAAAUUUUGUUGAUAUUACAUUCAGUGACCAAGUCAACACAGACUUUAAAGGCAUCAUUGACUCAUUGUAGUAUUAAUUUAUUUCCCUGAUGACUGAGUAGAACGUCUUUUCAUGUGCUUUUUGGCCCUUUAUAUAUCUUCUUUUGUGAAAUAUUUCUUCAAGUCUUUUGACCAAUUCUCUUAUUGCAUUGUCUUAUGAGACUUCGUGAUAUAUUCUAGAGACAAGUCCUUUGUUGGAGAUAAAUAUAAUUUCUCCUAUUCUGUGGCUUCCUUUUAUGUUCUCUUAAUAGUAUCUUUUGGGAUAUAUAUGUAUAUGUGUAUAUAAAUAUAUAUGAUAAUUAUUUAUAAAUAUAUUUAAUUAUUAUAUAUUAUAUACAUAUAUAAAUAUAUUUGAUAUUUUCUCUAAGAAAUCAUUGCCUAACUUAAGGUUGCAAAAAUUAUUUUCCUAUAUUUUCUUUUGAGGAGUUUUAUAGUUAUAGCUUUUACAUUUAUGUCUUUGAUCCAUUUUUAGUAAUAUUUGUGUAUGAUGUAAGAUAAGGGUUGCUAUUUUUUAAUAUGAAUGUGUAGUUUUUCUAUCACUAUUUGCUGAAAAUAAUUAACUUUAUCCUUUGAAUUGCCGUGGCAGCUUUGUUGAAAAUCAAUUGACCAUAUCGAUAUGGUUCUAUUUAUGGACUGUCCCUCUGUUCCAUUGAUUAUAUACUAUUUUUUUCAUCAAUACCACACUAUCUUGAUUUUUCCACUUUUAUAGUAAUUCUGGAUAUGGGCAAUGUAGUUCAUCCACCUUUAUUAUUCUUUUCUAAAAUUGCUUUGAUAAUUCAAGAUCAUUUGCAUUUCCAUAUAGAUUUUAGAAUCAGCUUGUAAAUAUUUACCUUUUCUGCUGGAAUUUUGAUUGGGGUUGUAUUAGAUCUGUUGAUCAAUUUGGGGAGAAUUGGCAUCUAAGCCAUAUUGAGUCUUUCAAUCCACAACAAGUUUUAUCUCUCCAUUUAUUUAGUUCUUUAAUUUCUGAAAGUAAUGUUCUGUGGCUUUCAGAGUUCUUAGACACAUUUUAUUAAAUUUGUUCUUUCAUAUCAGUUUUUAGAUGCUAUUUUAAAUGAAAUUGUAUUUUAUUUUGCUUUCCAAAUGUUCAUUGCUACAAUAUGGAAAUACAUUAGAUUUUUUUUAUAUUGAUCUUAUAAUCUGAAAUCUUGCCAAACUCACUUAUUAGUUUUAGUGGAUUUUUUUUUUGU